rnacentral:rRNA from 1 species
GUGGGGAAUCUUGCGCAAUGGGCGAAAGCCUGACGCAGCAACGCCGCGUGCGGGAUGACGGCCUUCAAGGUUGUAAACCGCUUUCAGCAGGGACGAAAAUGAUGGUACCUGCAGAAGAAGCCCCGGCUAACUACGUGCCAGCAGCCGCGGUAAUACGGAGGGGGCAAGCGUUGUCCGGAUUCAUUGGGCGUAAAGAGCUCGUAGGCGGUUCAGUAAGUCGGGUGUGAAAGCUCCGAGCUCAACUCGGAGAGGCCACCCGAUACUGCUGUGACUUGAGUACAGUAGGGGAGCGUGGAAUUCCUGGUGUAGCGGUGAAAUGCGCAGAUAUCAGGAGGAACACCAGCGGCGAAGGCGGCGCUCUGGGCUGUAACUGACGCUGAGGAGCGAAAGCGUGGGGAGCAAACAGGAUUAGAUACCCCUGUAGUCC